CAGGCGUGCACCACCACGACCACGCCCAGCUAAUUUUUGUGUUUUUCGCUAUGUUGCCCAGGCUGGUCUUGAACUCCUGGGCUCAAGCCAUCCUCUCGCCUUGGCCUCCCAAAGUACUGGGACUACAGGCGUGAGCCACUGCGCCCAGCCUCCUUAUCCCUUUUGAAGCGAUUGGAUAUUCUCGGGUCCCUGGGACCACAGAUGCCUGAAGUUCUGGGCGUUAAAACUGGGCCCAGAAAGGGGAAAACAACUCAGCUACCCACAUAUAUUCUGCAGGUGCAAAGACGGAGGACCACUCCAACUCAGACCAGAAAGCCCUCGGCAUGAUGGGGCUGGUGCGGCGGGACACAGCCCUGCUCCUCCGAGACUUCCGCCUGGGUGCCUCCUCAUGGCUCAACUCCUUCCUGGAGUUAAGUGGGCGCAAGUCCCAGAAGAUGUCGGAGCCCAUAGCAGAGCCGAUGCGCCGCAGUGUGUCUGAAGCAGCACUGGCCCAGCCCCAGGGCCCACUGGGCACGGAUUCCCUCGAGAACCUGACCCUGAGGGACUUGAGCCUGAGGGGAAACUCUGAGACGUCGUCGGACACCCCCGAGAUGUCGCUGUCAGCUGAGACACUUAGCCCCUCCACACCCUCCGAUGUCAACUUCUUAUUACCGCCUGAGGAUGCAGGGGAAGAGGCCGAGGCCAAAAAUGAGCUGAGCCCCAUGGACAGAGGCCUGGGCGUCCGUGCCGCCUUCCCCGAGGGUUUCCACCCCCGACGCUCCAGCCAGGGUGCCACACAGAUGCCCCUCUACUCCUCACCCAUAGUCAAGAAC
rnacentral:sRNA from 1 species